CCCCGCCCAGACCCCAGAUCCGGCCAUUGCGCCGGGCUGAACGCCGUGCCUGGACUGGGCAUCGGCACAAAGGAGGACUCCGGCCAUGGAGCUGGGUUGGACACUGUGCCUGGACAUCGGCGCAGAAGAAGGCUCCGGCCUUGGAGCUGGACUGGAUGCCUUACCUGGAAGCUCUGGACCGUUGACUGUCGCCGGAGGUUCCGGACCGUUGACCGUCGCCGGAGGUUCUGGACCGUCGCCGGAGGUUUCGGACCGUCGCCAGAAGCUCCGGACCGGGAACCGUCGCUGGAAGCUCUGGACUGUGAAUGCGCACUGGAGGCCUAGUGCGUGGAACUGGCACAGGUGGCACCGGACUGGACUGGGGACACGCUCUUCAGGGCGAGUGCGAGGAGCAGGCACAGGACGUACCGGACUGGGGACACGCUCUUCAGGGCGAGUGCGAGGAGCAGGCACAGGAUGUACCGGACUGGGGACACGCUCUUCAGGGCGAGUGCGAGGAGCAGGCACAAGACUUACCGGACUGGGGACACGCUCUUCAGGGCGAGUGCGAGGAGCAGGCACAGGACAUACCGGACUGGGGACACGCUCUUCAGGGCGAGUGCGAGGAGCAGGCACAGGACAUACCGGACUGGGGACACGCUCUUCAGGGCGAGUGCGAGGAGCAGGCACAGGACAUACCGGACUGGGGACACGCUCUUCAGGGCGAGUGCGAGGAGCAGGCACAGGACAUACCGGACUGGGGACACGCUCUUCAGGGCGAGUGCGAGGAGCAUCUCAUCUCUGUCUCUCCCAACCUCUCCAUUGCCUCCCUGACAGUCUCUGGCUCUUCCUGCGGCUCCAUGUGCCCCCCAAAAAAACUCUUGGGGUUUCUGUGGCCGUGGUCUGACGACACGGUCCUCUAGAGUUUGCCAUUCGGGCUCUGGCACUCUCCUCGGCUCGAUCGGCCACCCCUUGUGCCCCCCCCCCCAAAAAAAACUUGGGGUUGUCCUUGGGCUUUCUGUGGCCGCGAACCCUGGCGUCGUCGCUGUCCUCCGUUAUUACCUUCCAUCUGCCGCCAAGGAAGGGUUUCGCAUCCACCCAUCACUUCUUACCACGUCCAAAACUCCUUUACCUGGUGAACACGCUGCUUGGUCCUGGUUUGUUGGGAUAUUCUCUCACCUUCUUGAAAAUGAUCAGACCAAGGCGCAGCGUGAGUAUAGUUCCACAUAUUUAUUUAAGUGAAACUAACAAAACAAAAUAACAAAACUUACAAAGACCGUGAGGACGUAGUGCCCAAACACACAAACAAUCAAUAUCCCACCAAACACAGGUAGGGAAAUAACUACCUAAAUAUGAUCCCCAAUCAGAGGCAACGAUAAACAGCUGCCUCUAAUUGGGAACCAUAUUAGCACCAACAUAGAAAUAGACAUACUAGAUCACCCCUUAGUCACGCCCUGACCUACUACACCAUAGAAAACCAAGGGCUCUCUAUGGUCAGGGUGUGACAAAACCGGUGUUAUAUGUUUUUACAGAUAUUCUAAAAUGGGUGGACAACGAUUUUUCAGGUUAUCCGUCAUUUACCCAGUUGCUACCGGGAAUAAUUGAUAUGGAUCAGCCAUCAUUAGAUGGAGGUUCUCAGAAGCAGACAGUGCCCGGUCCUUUACAUAGCCCGUCACCGUCACGCUAUUUUUGACCGGACAGCCCCCCAGCAAGGAUAUGUGAUGCAUAAUGGACUCUGAACGACUUCGGAGGAGCCGAUGAAACAGACAGUAUUCUACCGUUUUGUACGAAUGUUUUUCCAAACACUCCAAGAACUGAGGCUAUAACCAGCAGAUCCACACCCCCAGGAACCUCAAGCCAAUCGCUCCAUAAUCUGGCAUUUACGACGCUUCAUAGUCCUUCACGACUCCGCACAGCUGUGGCCAAAGUGCAUUGCGCAGAAUCACCCCAGCCCGAGAAGGGAGGAUACAGGGCUGAAAACGUACGGAUUCAAGAACCGGCGCUCUAUAGAUACGACUCCAACGAUACACGCCUGGCAGAAUCUGCAAAGCCAGGUGAAAAAAGUCUAGAGCCCUUGGUAUCCACGAUUCGUCAGAACAGCCUGCGUCAAAAAAGCAGAGGUACCGUAAUUUCCGGACUAUAAGCCGCAACUUUUUUCCCACACUUUGAACCUCGUGGCUUAAACAAUGACGCGGCUAAUAUAUGGGUUUUUCCCGCUUUCACAUUUUUUUUCCCCAAAAAAACACAUUCUGUGACGUGCUCAGUUUUUUGGCGGCAUGAAGCUUUCAUUAGACCAAUGAAAUUGCCGAACGGGUUAAGGUCAAACUACUUUUUUGUUUACUGUUUAGAUUAAAUCGAGCGCGCUCAAACUUCUCAUCAUUCUGAUUACGGUAGUCAUUUUGUCACCCUGAUUCCUGGGGGCACAACAAAGUAUUUGCAGCCACUCGACAACAGUGUAAAUCGUGCAUUUAAGGUGGCGCUCCGUGUUCAGCGGGAGGCUUGGAUGACAAGUGGGGAGAAAUCCUUAACUAAAACGGCCCGCAUGCGAAGAGCAACUUAUGGUCAAGUCUGCCAGUGGGUCCUGACAGCGUGGAGCAUUGUCAAAAAAUCCACUAUCAUCAACGGGUAUCGAAAGGCUGGACUGCUGCAUGUUGAAGAGGGCUCAGCAGGGGAUUUGCCUCCAGAUGAAAGUGACGAGGGCGACAAUGAAAACGAUCCAAUAUCGGACGAAGCAAUUCUGAGGCUAUUCAACUCCGACACCGAAGGAGAUGGUUUCAGUGCCCAGGAGGAGGAAGAUAGUGACCAAUGACUUUCUUGACUCCUCCCCGGUGUCAAGGCUGGCUCAAGAAAGCAGGAGAGGUAGAGUCAGGCGCAGGAGACAGUGAAUUCUUGAACACACUUUAAUUCAAGAAAACUGUUAUGGUCGUCAGAAAAUAGGGACGCAGCCCUUAAAUACUUCUGCGGUGGUAAAACACAAAAAACCAACCACAGGCAGAGGGGAAAAAAAACACACGUUCCUCAAGCACACAAACCUGACAAGGAACAUAAUCACGCACAAACACAGACAUACUACGCUAAACUAAAUAACCCCCCCUACUAAUAACUAACCCAAAACAGGUGCGUGCCUACCUAGACCUAACCAACAGAAAGUGAAACAAAAAGGAUCGAUGGCAGCUAGUAGGACGGCGACGACGACCGCCGAGCCCCGCCCGGUCGAGGGGGGAGUGCCACCAUCCGUCGGUGUCGUGACACCCGGCAUAUACUGGCACAGAAGGCCUAACACAUUGAGAGCACGUGGAGGAUUUCGUCGCCCAGAACAUCCACAGUAAAACACUGAAACCGGAUGAUUUCAACACUUUAAAUGACAAUUCUGAGCUCGACGAUUUGCUGUUGUAUGAGGCGGCCCGCCAUCUUGAUACAGACAGUUCUGACAUAGAAACAAUAAUGCAAAGGUAUAUAUUUCAUACAAUUACCCUGUUAAAACUGUUGUUACAAUAUCACUUCUCAUUGUGUACAUUUCCAGGUUUCACAAACAUAAAACAACUAUCUAAUUAAUGUUUAUCGGACUAACACACUGUUGAGUUUCCUAUUUACUAAAGAACAAUCACUAAGACAAAACACAAAAGUUGUAAUAUAAUCUGUAUACAUGUCAUUCUAUACUGAAAAUAGGGACAUUCUGAAAGAUGUUGAUGUGAUAACACAUUUUUUUUAUUCAUCUCUCAGUUUAGGAUAAUGCUGUUUAUUUUAUACUUUACUUAAAUUGUAUUAUUUAUCUUGUCUCAUACCAUGCUAAUACACUACUAAGCAAUGCAAACAGAUAUGGAAUUAACCCCGUAACAGGUGUGUGUCUUUUAUGGAUCAAGAAUUGAUCAAGAAUAACAAUAGCCUUGAUCAGAUCCUCUUCCCUAUUACGGCAUCAUAUAAUGCACAGUCAUAUGCAAAUCCAUAAAACUCCAUCAAUAAAACAUUGAAAACCUUAACAGGACUACUUGCAUAUGCAUAUCCUAGCUUCUGGGCCUGAGUAGCAGAUAGUUUACUUUGGGCACCUCAGUCAUCCAAACUUUGGAAUACUGCCCCCUAUUCCUAACAAGUUAAAGGUUUUGUAAGUUGUAACAGGUCUCAUUCCGCAGUCUAGAGAUCGGAUAAAAAAGGGCUUCCAUCUAAGGAAUGCCCCACUUACUAAAAGCAAACUCUUGUCAUAGACCAUCUUGCCCUUUGGAUACUGACUUAUGUUACAAGCCCCGUGUGUCUUAAAGCUUAAGAUAUAAUGUCUGCUGUAGACGGUUUUGACCCCAGGUUGCAACUACCAUUUUCGGCCUUAAUCACAGGCCCAUCCAAUAGCGGUAAAACUUGUUUUGUAAAAAGUAUUUUAGAGAAUUCUGAACAUGUAUUAUCUCAGAAACCUGACAAUAUUGUGUGGUGUUAUUCGUGUUAUCAACCUUUGUAUGAUGAGCUGUUGAAGAAAAUAAAAAUCAAGUUUGUUGAAGGAAUACCCGAAUCCCUGUCUGAUGAUGAACUUUUACCUCAUAAAAACAAUCUGCUGGUUUUGGACGAUAUGCUAUUUGCAGGUAGCGAACAUCCUGAAAUUGCACGAGCUUUUACCCAAUAUACUCAUCAUAGAAACCUGUCCGUACUUUACUUGGUGCAGAAUGUGUUUCACCAAGGUAAAAAUAGCCGUACCAUUAGUUUGAACGCCAAUUACAUGGUUUUGUUCGAAAACCCUAGAGACAAACUACAAAUUAACACUCAGCAGAUGUACCCAGGAUGGAAAUUGUACUUUAUGGAGAGCUAUGAGGACGCUACCAAAGCGCCAUUUUCUUAUUUAAUCGUGGAUUUAAAAUCAAAUACUCCAGAACACCUGAUGCUCCGAACCGGCUUGUUCCCGUGGGAGUGGCCGGCGGCGUACAUUCCUAAAAAGUAACAGCUAUGUCUCUGCGUUUAAAAAGAAACCUGCCCCUCUUGAGAAGCCUAGUUGGGGCUACCGCUAAAGAACGGAAGGCCAUCUUGGGUCACUGUUCUUCAGAUCUCAUAUUAUCCCUAUGUGAGAUUGCUUUGAAUCUUCUCAAAGGCUGCAUUCCACUCACCCUAACCCAAUUAAAAAAAUUAAAGAGACAAAAGACCGCGAUCAAACUCUUUGCCAAUAAAAGGGCCAGUCUUCAAAAGAAAAGACAUAGCAUACAACAGUCUGGGGGUUUUCUACCUUCUCUUCCUGCAGACUGAUUCCCUGUAUAGCUGUUUAAUUGUGCGUGCAUCUUAACAACCAUAGUCAAUGUCAGUUCUCACUGGACAUAAUUCUCAGUAAUCUGAACCAGGAGUGGUGAACCAAAUGUGUGUGUGAAUGUGGACAUAUUCUUACAAUAAACUCCCCUUAACCUGGACAUCCACUUUAUCUUUGUUCGGACCGGACAUUCUGUAGUGCUUCUUUCACAUGCAUUGCUUGCUGUUUGGGGUUUUAGGCUGGGUUUCUGUACAGCACUUUGAGAUAUCAGCUGAUAUACGAAGGGCUUUAUAAAUAAAUUUGAUUUGAUUUUGAUUUGGUUGCUACCGGCCUUAAGCCAGCACUUAGAGUUAAUUUAUUAUAUUCAUGGUCCUUUGAUUCUCCACAACCCUACCCCUAUUUUUCAAUAUAUAAAUACUAUUUAGCAGAUGCUUUAUCCAAAGCAACUUAUAGUCAUGUGUAAGUGAAUUUUUCCUUGUGGG
rnacentral:lncRNA from 1 species